AACGAACGCUGGCGGCAGGCUUAACACAUGCAAGUCGAGCGCCCCGAAAGGGGACCGGCAGACGGGUGAGUAACGCGUGGGAACGUACCCUUAUCUUCGGGACAGCUCUGGGAAACUGGAAUUAAUACCGAAUGUGCCCUUUGGGGGAAAGAUUUAUCGUAUAAGGAUCGGCCCGCGUGGGAUAAGCUAGUUGGCGGGGUAAAGGCCUACCAAGGCGACGAUCCAUAGCUGGUCUGAGAGGAUGAGCAGCCACAUUGGGACUGAGACACGGCCCAAACUCCUACGGGAGGCAGGAGUGGGGGAUAUUGGACCAUGGGCGCAAGCCUGAUGCAGCCAUGCCGCGUGAGUGAUGAAGGCCUUAGAGUUGUAAAGCUCUUUCACCUGAGAAGAUAAUGACGGUAUCCGGAGAAAAAGCCCCGGCUAACUUCGUG
rnacentral:rRNA from 1 species